AUCAUUACUGAAUUUAUAAUGGGCGAGGUUGUCGCUGGCCUUUUUAUCGGGGCAUGUGCACGCCGCGUUCAAUCCAAAUUCUUAAACCUCUGUGCACCUUUCAUGGGAUGGAGUCUAUGUUUGCUGGCUCUUUGCGGGGCUGACAUUCUGAUUUCGCCUGUGUCCUAUUAUUAAACUUGUCAGUUAAGAAUGUCAUCUUGCGAUAUAUACGCAAUUAUAUACAACUUUCAGCAACGGAUCUCUUGGCUCUCGCAUCGAUGAAGAACGCAGCGAAAUGCGAUAAGUAAUGUGAAUUGCAGAAUUCAGUGAAUCAUCGAAUCUUUGAACGCACCUUGCGCUCCUUGGUAUUCCGAGGAGCAUGCCUGUUUGAGUGUCAUGGUAUUCUCAAUUCACUUCAUUUUUUAAAUGAGGUGGUAUUGGAUGUGGAGGUUGCUUGCUGGCGUCACUUGUGAUACCGGCUCCUCUGAAAUGCAUUAGCAUGAAUGUGUAUGGAACAUUUCUCAGUGUGAUAAUUAUCUACGCUGUGAAUGAGAAAUGCAAUUAGGUUCACGCUUAUAGCCGUCCUUUGUUGGACAAUUUAUUAUUGACAAUCUGACCUCAAAUCAGGUAGGACUACCCGCUGAACUUAAGCAUAUCAAUAAGCGGAGGAAAAGAAACUAACAAGGAUUCCCCUAGUAACUGCGAGUGAAGCGGGAAAAGCUCAAAUUUAAAAUCUGGCGGUCUUUGGCUGUCCGAGUUGUAUUCUGGAGAAGUGUUUUCCGCGUUGGACCGUGUACAAGUCUCUUGGAAUAGAGCGUCAUAGAGGGUGAGAAUCCCGUCUUUGACACGGACUACCAAUGCUUUGUGAUGCGCUCUCAAAGAGUCGAGUUGUUUGGGAAUGCAGCUCAAAAUGGGUGGUAAAUUCCAUCUAAAGCUAAAUAUUGGCGAGAGACCGAUAGCGAACAAGUACCGUGAGGGAAAGAUGAAAAGCACUUUGGAAAGAGAGUUAAACAGUACGUGAAAUUGCUGAAAGGGAAACGCUUGAAGUCAGUCGCGUUGUGCAGAACUCAGCCUGGCUUUUGCUUGGUGCAUUUUCUGCAUGACGGGCCAGCAUCAAUUUUGACCGCUGGAUAAAGGCGUCGGGAAUGUGGCACCCUCGGGUGUGUUAUAGCCCGGCGUUGUAUACAGCGGUUGGGAUUGAGGAUCUCAGCAUGCCUUUAUGGUCGGGGUUCGCCCACGUUCAUGCUUAGGAUGCUGGCGUAAUGGCUUUAAACGACCCGUCUUGAAACACGGACCAAGGAGUCUAACAUGCCUGCGAGUGUUUGGGUGGAAAACCCGAGCGCGUAAUGAAAGUGAAAGUUGGGAUCUCUGUCGUGGAGAGCACCGACGCCCGGACCAGACCUUUUGUGACGGAUCCGCGGUAGAGCAUGUAUGUUGGGACCCGAAAGAUGGUGAACUAUGCCUGAAUAGGGUGAAGCCAGAGGAAACUCUGGUGGAGGCUCGUAGCGAUUCUGACGUGCAAAUCGAUCGUCAAAUUUGGGUAUAGGGGCGAAAGACUAAUCGAACCAUCUAGUAGCUGGUUCCUGCCGAAGUUUCCCUCAGGAUAGCAGAAACUCAUGUCAGAUUUAUGUGGUAAAGCGAAUGAUUAGAGGCCUUGGGGUUGAAACAACCUUAACCUAUUCUCAAACUUUAAAUAUGUAAGAACGAGCCGUCACUUGA
rnacentral:rRNA from 1 species